ACGAACGCUGGCGGCGUGCCUAAUACAUGCAAGUAGGACGCUGAAGAGAGGAGCUUGCUCUUCUUGGAUGAGUUGCGAACGGGUGAGUAACGCGUAGGUAACCUGCCUUGUAGCGGGGGAUAACUAUUGGAAACGAUAGCUAAUACCGCAUAACAAUGGAUGACACAUGUCAUUUAUUUGAAAGGGGCAAUUGCUCCACUACAAGAUGGACCUGCGUUGUAUUAGCUAGUAGGUGAGGUUACGGCUCACCUAGGCGACGAUACAUAGCCGACCUGAGAGGGUGAUCGGCCACACUGGGACUGAGACACGGCCCAGACUCCUACGGGAGGCAGCAGUAGGGAAUCUUCGGCAAUGGGGGCAACCCUGACCGAGCAACGCCGCGUGAGUGAAGAAGGUUUUCGGAUCGUAAAGCUCUGUUGUAAGUCAAGAACGAGUGUGAGAGUGGAAAGUUCACACUGUGACGGUAGCUUACCAGAAAGGGACGGCUAACUACGUG
rnacentral:rRNA from 1 species